ACGGGAGGCAGCAGUGGGGAAUAUUGCACAAUGGGGGAAACCCUGAUGCAGCGACGCCGCGUGAGCGAAGAAGUAUUUCGGUAUGUAAAGCUCUAUCAGCAGGGAAGAUAAUGACGGUACCUGACUAAGAAGCUCCGGCUAAAUACGUGCCAGCAGCCGCGGUAAUACGUAUGGAGCAAGCGUUAUCCGGAUUUACUGGGUGUAAAGGGAGUGUAGGCGGAAGGCUAAGUCUGAUGUGAAAACCCGGGGCUCAACCCCGGGACUGCAUUGGAAACUGGUUUUCUAGAGUAUCGGAGAGGUAAGUGGAAUUCCUAGUGUAGCGGUGAAAUGCGUAGAUAUUAGGAGGAACACCAGUGGCGAAGGCGGCUUACUGGACGAUAACUGACGCUGAGGCUCGAAAGCGUGGGGAGCAAACAGGAUUAGAUACCCUGGUA
rnacentral:rRNA from 1 species